rnacentral:pre_miRNA from 1 species
NNNNNNGUUUGACUGUCUGUCUUAUAUGAAUUUUUUUAUAAUUAAUAUUUAAUUAUUGUUAGAUAAUAAAAUAUGAUUAAUACUUUAUGCGUGACUUGUUUUUUUAAUUUUUUUUCAUAAUUUUUUUAAAUAAGACGGAUGGUCAAACGUUAGACACGAAAACCUAGG